UACAGAGGUCUCAAGCGUUGUUCGGAUUCAUUGGGCGUAAAGGGUGCGUAGGUGGCGGGGUAAGUCAGGUGUGAAAUCUCGGAGCUCAACUCCGAAACUGCACUUGAUACUGCCUUGCUCGAGUACUGGAGAGGAGAUUGGAAUUUACGGUGUAGCAGUGAAAUGCGUAGAUAUCAGGAGGAACACCGAUGGCGAAGGCAGAUCUCUGGGCCGUUACUGACGCUGAGGAGCGAAAGCAUGGGGAGCGAACAGG
rnacentral:rRNA from 1 species